AAGGAGCUGUGUUAUCAGGAGGUACUGGAUGGAAGGAGCUGUGUUAUCAGGAGGUAUUGGAUGGAAGAAGCUGUGUUAUCAGGAGGUAUUGGAUGGAAGGAGCUGUGUUAUCAGGAGGUAUUGGAUGGAAGGAGCUGUGUUAUCAGGAGGUAUUGGAUGGAAGGAGCUGUGUUAUCAGGAGGUAUUGGAUGGAAGGAGCUCUGUUAUCAGGAGGUAUUGGAUGGAAGGAGCUGUGUUAUCAGGAGGUACUGGGUGGAAGGAGCUGUGUUGUCAGGAGGUAUUGGAUGGAAGGAGCUGUGUUAUCAGGAGGUACUGGAUGGAAGGAGCUGUGUUAUCAGGAGGUAUUGGAUGGAAGGAGCUGUGUUAUCAGGAGGUACUGGAUGGAAGGAGCUGUGUUAUCAGGAGGUACUGGAUGGAAGGAGCUGUGUUAUCAGGAGGUACUGGAUGGAAGGAGCUGUGUUAUCAGGAGGUACUGGAUGGAAGGAGCUGUGUUAUCCAACACUGUUAACGUGGAGGUGAUGUUGUCAUGAGGUACUGGAUGGAAGGAGCUGUGUUAUCCAACACUGUUAACGUGGAGGUGAUGUUGUCAUGAGGUAUUGGAUGGAAGGAGUUUGAAAGCAGUUGUUAAUAGGUUUGUGGAGAGAAGGCCUUAACUCGAAUUUCUGGUGUAAUGGAGGGAUUGAACCCCCCCCCCCCCCC